rnacentral:rRNA from 1 species
UACGGAGGGUGCGAGCGUUGUUCGGAAUCACUGGGCGUAAAGCGCGUGUAGGCGGCCCAUUAAGUCUGAUGUGAAAGCCCGGGGCUCACCCCCGGAAGUGCAUUGGAAACUGAUGGACUCGAGUCCCGGAGAGGAGAGUGGAAUUCCUGGUGUAGCGGUGAAAUGCGUAGAUAUCUGGAGGAAUACCGGUGGCGAAGGCGGCAUCCUGGACCGACAUUGACGCUGAACGGCGAAAGCUAGGGGAGCAAACGGG